AGCUGGUACAUGUUGCCCGGAAGCUACUUGUCAGCAGCAGUGGAGGGGCCUGUGGUUGUCGCUUCCAACUUCCGUCACCCCAAAUGGAGAUUCCGGAAGAAUGUCAUCAUCAAGCUGUCAUGGAAAUGCACGAUGGAUGACUGGACAGAGAUUUUGGGACCUGGGCAUGAGCUCCAAUUGGAUCUUCACCAUAACCUUCAUCAUUCUGAUCUACUUCUUGCUCAUCACAAUGAUCAUUAUGGUCUACGCUAAUAGUUAUAUUUUUAACAAAUGGCUUGUCUGGAGAUCAAGCAGAAGACCCCAAUGAACAAAGUGACCCAAACAAAGCUUCUAUCCCUGGGGCAAGAAUCAAUGGCCAGAGAGCUGCUUCAGGGGCAGGUUAGCUAAAGCGAAGUUUGGCAGUUGGAAAACAUGGACAUUCUUAACAUGGAAAAUGUCUAACGCUUAUUACAAGAACCUGACAGCUAGCUCCAAAUAGUUUGCCGAUUUCCAAUCCUUUAUCAUGACUUGAAUUAAUGUUUUAAUUUCGCGAACUAUAUAUUUUAUUGUUAACCUCUGAAAGAACACAUACAGUAAAAGUCAGAAUAUGCAUGUAUAAGGGUCAAUGACACAUAAAGAUUUUCAACAUGCCAAUUUUAAAAUACAAAUAAAAAAUAAUAUAUUUUGCGGUUAUUCUAACAUUAAGUUUGUGGUGUACACAUACAUGCAGAUUAAAUUUUUAAAUUGAGUCAUUUUAGUGUUUUUCAUUUUAACAUGCAUAUUGGUUGUAUAUUAGUAUGUUUAAAGCACAUAUCAAUGCUUUAUUCUGCAUUGCCUUAUUCUACGUCCCUUAAUCCUACCAAAUACCUAAACCUAAAAACUACCUUAUAAGCAGUAAUUAGGAGUUUAUUGAGGCAAAAGUCAUAGUUAAUAGUUAGUAAAUAGUGAGAAUUGGUACCUAUUCUAAAUUGUGACCGAAGUAUGUGCAUUUCUUUGAGUUUUAGUAAGUAAUCAUCAUAUUUUAUUUUUAAUGUAAUACAAUUAUUGAUAUUAUUGGUCGCACCACAUAAGUGGUUGUUAUAGGUCAUUGACCCUAACAGAAAUAAUAGUGAAAUAUUCAAAAAUUGGUAUACAUACAUAUAAUAGAUAUAAUCAGGUUUUCAUAAAAUGAAUGAUACUUACAUUAUGUCAAUAUUCCUUGCAAUACAGAGAAAGAAAGAGAUUAAGAAACUGUUGAAGAAGUCUGUGUCUUUUCACAACAAAAUAAUAGUGACGAAAAGCUGGUCAACUACGCAACUGUACAUCACAGAACAACUGUCAGUGCUGGUCAAAACGGUUAAUACCAUGACAGAGUCUCAUUCAGACCACCUUCCUACCAUCACAAUACAGCUUGUGUAAUCACUCCCUUUAGUGUUAUAGUUUUCCUUUUUUGUUGAAGAUUGUCUUUUUAUCAAUAAAACUAUUCCAUAUGAAGCAUCCUAUUAUCUUCAUUUGACAAAGAUCAGUCCAAAUUACACUACAAUAUUCCUCAUUACAAAGUACAA